UACAGGGGGUGCAAACGUUGCUCGGAAUCAUUGGGCGUAAAGCGCACGUAGGCGGUCUGUUAUGUCGGAUGUGAAAGCCCUUGGCUCAACUGAGGAAGUGCAUCUGAAACUGGCGAGCUAGAGUAUGUAAGAGGGUCGCGGAAUUCCCGGUGUAGAGGUGAAAUUCGUAGAUAUCGGGAGGAACACCGGUGGCGAAGGCGGCGACCUGGGACAAUACUGACGCUGAGGUGCGAAAGCGUGGGGAGCAAACAGG
rnacentral:rRNA from 1 species